rfam:Lepisosteus oculatus linkage group LG12, whole genome shotgun sequence.
GGAUCUGGGGGUUUCAAGCAGAAGGCUUCUCCCCCUACAGUAGGGAUAACUGGCCUGUUGUGGCAGCCAAGUGUUCAUAGAGACAUCGCUUUUCUGAUACCUUGAUGUGCCUCUCGGAGUGAAGGAAUAUUCACCAGGCACUGGAUCGUUCCCACUAAUAGGGAACGUGAGCUGGGUCUAGACUGCUGUGAGACAGGUUAGUUUUCCCUGCAGCUGAUGUGUCAUGUCAGUGGUCGUCCUGCUGCGUGCGAGAGGACCCGCAGGGUCAGACACUGGGUGCCUGCGCUCAGCUGAGGAGCCAGGGGUGUGAGGCUGCAGUCUGUGGGAUUAUGGCUCCAGGUCAGGAGUACCUGCAGCCCUCAUCGCUGGCGACAGGCGCUUCUGAUCUUGGGUUUGUGCAAUAAAGUGAUCACCAGGAGCACUGCAGCGAACUCUUUCUGCUCCGCUGAAUGCCGAAGCAGAUCGCCACAACUGUCCUGCUCUGCCUUGUCCGUUCUGAGAAAAUGAAGAGCUGACCUCACACUGAGAUCAAUGAUUUAUUUACAUUGUGUAACAAACGUCUGUGUAAAUGUAUCCCAGUAUCAGGGCUCUUCAUUAUGUGGUCAAAGCAGCCAGAGGCUGCAUAACGUCUGAUCUACAGUCUAUUUUGAAUUUACAGCCUGGUCAGAAGGAUAUAUACUGUGCAUCAUGGCCUGACGGUGGGUGUUAUACUGUAGGUAGCCAUUAUAACAGUCAGUUCUACAGUCCUGGUAU